UACGUAGGGUGCAAGCGUUGUCCGGAAUUAUUGGGCGUAAAGAGCGCGCAGGCGGUCGUUCAAGUCGCGUGUGAAAGCCCCCCGGCUCAACUGGGGAGGGUCACGCGAUACUGAUCGACUCGAAGGCAGGAGAGGGUAGUGGAAUUCCCGGUGUAGUGGUGAAAUGCGUAGAUAUCGGGAGGAACACCAGUGGCGAAGGCGACUACCUGGCCUGUUCUUGACGCUGAGGCGCGAAAGCUAGGGGAGCAAACGGGG
rnacentral:rRNA from 1 species